UUAAGCAGCCAUACCACCCUGUAGCCCAAGACUGGUUGCCCACUGAAGCUAAGCAGGGUUGAGCUUGGUCAGUACCUGAAUGGGAGACCUCCUGGGAAAACUAGGUUGCUGUUGGAA
rnacentral:rRNA from 1 species